rnacentral:rRNA from 1 species
AGAAUCAACGCUGGCGGCGUGCCUAACACAUGCAAGUCGAACGCGAAAGCCCCGAAAGGGGCAAGUAGAGUGGCAAACGGGUGAGUAACACGUGGGUGACCUGCCUUCGAGCGGGGGAUAACGUCCCGAAAGGGACGCUAAUACCGCAUAACAUCCUGCCUUUGAAGAGGUGGAGAUCAAAGCUGGGGAUCGCAAGACCCGGCACUUGAAGAGGGCCCGCGCCUGAUUAGCUAGUUGGUGGGGUAAUGGCCUACCAAGGCAACGAUCAGUA